rnacentral:tRNA from 1 species
UGGAUGCGUUGUGCGGCGGCCUGGAACUCGGCGCUGCCGGCGCUGUGCAGGUCGAACUGGUGGCUGUUCAAUUCCGCCCUCACCCGCCC